GAUGAACGCUAGCGGGAGGCCUAACACAUGCAAGCCGAGCGGUAGAGUCUCUUCGGAGACUUGAGAGCGGCGCACGGGUGCGGAACACGUGUGCAACCUGCCUUUAUCUGGGGGAUAGCCUUUCGAAGGGAAGAUUAAUACCCCAUAAUAUACUGGAUGGCAUCAUCUGGUAUUGAAAACUCCGGUGGAUAGAGAUGGGCACGCGCAAGAUUAGAUAGUUGGUGAGGUAACGGCUCACCAAGUCAGCGAUCUUUAGGGGGCCUGGGAGGGUGAUCCCCCACACUGGAACUGGGACACGGACCAGACUCCUACGGGAGGCAGCAGUGAGGAAUAUUGGGCAAUGGGUGAGAGUCUGAUCCAGCCAUCCCGCGUGAAGGACGACGGCCCUAUGGGUUGUAAACUUCUUUUGUAGAGGGAUAAACCUAGAUACGUGUAUCUAGCUGAAGGUACUAUACGAAUAAGCACCGGCUAACUCCGUG
rnacentral:rRNA from 1 species